UACAGAGGUGGCAAGCGUUGUUCGGAAUUACUGGGCGUAAAGGGCGCGUAGGCGGUUCGUUAAGUCCUGUGUGAAAUCCCCGGGCUCAACCUGGGAAUGGCGAUGGAAACUGGGCAGCUAGAGUGUGUCAGAGGAUGGUGGAAUUCCCGGUGUAGCGGUGAAAUGCGUAGAGAUCGGGAGGAACAUCAGUGGCGAAGGCGGCCAUCUGGGACAACACUGACGCUGAAGCACGAAAGCGUGGGGAGCAAACAGG
rnacentral:rRNA from 1 species